AAGGGUGGCUGGAUACUUGCUUCUAUCUUGUUCCAGGACACAACCCUGAGUGUGGCCUUUAGCCACUCUUGGCUCCUUCCAAGCAGCCACCCUGGACCAGGAGGCGAUGAGAGUCACAUCCCUGGGUCCCCCGUAUUGAAUCCCACACUGAGCACUGAGGCCUUGAGGUGCACAGGGUCAGGUUCCCUGAGGACGUGCAGCUUCUCAGAGCUCCAGGCCACUCUGAAGUCCUCUCCUGCCUCCUGCCCACAGUGCCUGGCAGCUGGCUCCAUCAUCAUGAAUCGUGAGCUGGAGAGCAUGGCCAUGCGGCCG
rnacentral:lncRNA from 1 species